rnacentral:sRNA from 1 species
UCUGCAUUGUGUUGAGGAGGCCAUGCCAUCCUAUCUGGCCGUUUUUUGAGCAAAGCACUUCAAUCUCUGUUUACUUCGGUAGUCUCAUCUGUAAACAACAGGAUUGAACCCGAUCACCUGGUUUUCUGAUUUGAUGUGCUGCUACAUAAUUCUGGUAUUGUAGAAGGUGAGGUAUAUCUGUUCAGCUCUGGGUUGUCGCCAAUGGGAUAGUGACGAAAUGGAACAAGAGGAAGACAUCCUGCUUCUACAGCGUACCCAAAAAACUGUUAGAGCUGUCGGACCUCGCAGUGGCAAUGAGAAGUGGAAUUUCAGUGUUGGCCACUUUGAACUUCGGUAUAUUCCAGACAUGGAAACGAGAGCAGGAUUUAUUGAAAGCACCUUUAAGCCCAAUGAGAACACAGAAGAGUCUAAAAUUAUUUCAGAUGUGGAAGAACAGGAAGCUGCCAUAAUGGACAUAGUGAUAAAGGUUUCGGUUGCUGACUGGAAAGUUAUGGCAUUCAGUAAGAAGGGAGGACAUCUGGAAUGGGAGUACCA